rnacentral:rRNA from 1 species
AUGAAGCGGGAGGACACACUCCUGUGUGAGUGUUGGAGGGACAUUGGACAAGACUGCAGGUUCGGCCCCGAGCAAAAGGCAUCCACCUUUUGGCUACGUGUUCAUCAUCAAUUUCAUGAAAGCAAGAAGUUCGCGCCGUACCAAAUGGAGAGCAAGCGCGGGUGGGUGUCCCUCUCGAAGCGGUGGACGGGGAUACGACAAGAGUGCAACAAGUUUUGCGCCACCCUCGAGAGCAUCGAGGGAAGCGAAGAUGCUCGAAAUUGA